AGUGAACGCUGGCGGUAGGCCUAACACAUGCAAGUCGAACGGCAGCACAGUAAGAGCUUGCUCUUACGGGUGGCGAGUGGCGGACGGGUGAGGAAUACAUCGGAAUCUACUUUUUCGUGGGGGAUAACGUAGGGAAACUUACGCUAAUACCGCAUACGACCUACGGGUGAAAGCAGGGGAUCUUCGGACCUUGCGCGAUUGAAUGAGCCGAUGUCGGAUUAGCUAGUUGGCGGGGUAAAGGCCCACCAAGGCGACGAUCCGUAGCUGGUCUGAGAGGAUGAUCAGCCACACUGGAACUGAGACACGGUCCAGACUCCUACGGGAGGCAGCAGUGGGGAAUAUUGGGCAAUGGGCGCAAGCCUGAUCCAGCCAUACCGCGUGGGUGAAGAAGGCCUUCGGAUUGUAAAGCCCUUUUGUUGGGAAAGAAAAGCAGCAGGUUAAUACCCCGCUGUUCUGACGGUACCCAAAGAAUAAGCACCGGCUAACUUCGUG
rnacentral:rRNA from 1 species